UAUGGCCAUAUUAUGUUGACACACUGCCUCCCGUAUGAUCACUGAAGUUAAGCAAUGUAAACCCUGUCAGUACCUAGAUGGAUGACUACCUGGGAAUACAAGGUGCU